GGAAACCAAAAGUCUCUGACAGAAAUGCACUCUCCAUUAUGCUGCUCAAGCAAGCCGUGAGUUGCAGCAAUGUGACCAUUCUUCAGAUGGACUCAGUGCUUUUGGAUGGAUCACAAACUAUGGCAACCAUUGCUAUUUGCACAGUUAUGGCCUGAGAAAGGAAGAGGAGGAAGAUCCAAAUUGGAGCUUGAAGACAAAUUGCUGUCAUUUGUGUUUCAGUAUAUGCGCAUUUCCACCACAGCUCUGUAUCCUCAGGCCAGUAGAGACCGUCUUUCUCAGAAAGAGUUAGACAGCUGCAGCAACAGCAUCCCCAAGGACAGUCAUGCUGAUGAUGGGAUAUCUUCCUUUCCUUUGCUGGAAGCAGUAUGAUGCUAAUGGUUUCUUCCCCCUUCCCCUAGGGUCCAGAUAUCUCUGAAGAAAAUAAGAAAUUCCCUCUUGCAGUAUCACACUGAUAUCCUCCUGACUUACAAGCGACUUUGGGAUCCUAUUACAGCUCUCUGGUGAAUGUCUGCCUGGCCAUUUGGCAGGAAUGUGGAGAGACAUCCUCAUUUCACAGCUGUCAGCUCACUGCGGGGAAGGGAUGUGAGGGAUGUUAGAAUUUAGGAAUCUCAAUUCUGUUUCAAUUAGAGACAACUCUGUCAUUGUGUCCACAGGCCCAAACUCCUGCCUGCAUCUUUGUCUUCAUCCAAAUCCAAGGCUUUCUCCAGUACUGCCAAUAACAAUUCUAUUUGGCUCCAAGCUUCUUGCAGUGGCUUAAGAACAGUGAAUAAUUAGUCUCACACAUAAAUCUGGAUGCGGAUGUGCUCCCAGCAGGGUUGCCAGAGCUGAGUAACUACAUGACUGCUCCACCAUGGUGUGUAUACAACACAUGCCACAACAGAGUGUGCUAGCAGGGAGGAAAGUUUAUAGUCUCUUUUAUUUGACCUCCUCCUAUUUUCUGUUUAUUUAUUACUCAGUUCUCAGGUGCUUUGUUUGAUCUCAGUCAAGAAGAUGAGACAAAACUAUAAGAGCUAGCAUGUAAUGUUGCACUCAUCUGUUCUGUAAGACUGAAUGCACAAUUAUGUAUUUAAUUUAUAUAUAGUUGCCAUGCCUAUGCAGAACUAAAUAGCAAAGGUUAGAUACAAG
rnacentral:lncRNA from 1 species